CUGGUGUGUUUCGCGAGCACUCGUGUGCGAAAAACGGGAGGUUUUUUUCUUCUUUAAAAGAACGUUAAAAAAUAAACUAUCCUACCAAAGUUAAAGAAUCUAAGCUUAAAUGUUACUUUUCAACUUGUUCUAUGUUGAAAACAUCAAGAUUUUCUUGAAAUAAAUUAAUUUUUGAAAAAGGACAGCACCAUCUAUUGGAAAUUUUUUGACAGAUGACAAGGUGACAGACUCUGUGCUUUCAAUAGUGUCAGUGAACACCGAUUAAAGGGCACGGUGUGAUCAACGAAAGAUGAUUAAUAAGACAAAAUUUUGAGAACAUUUUAUUACAAAAGAUAGUAACAGAAGUUUUAAUGUUACAGGAGGAAAUCGAAACACCAGAAGCCUUUAAAGUAUUUUCGUUAUUAAGAGCAGUGGAAACAUGAUAACUAUUUGGUUUCGACGGCCCUGGUUCUGCAGAGAAAAUAAUCCUGAAUGUAACCUUCGGCAACUGACGAAGAUUUCCAUCCACCAUGCCGUUUGAUUGAUAAAAAGUCACUUCCUUUAUUUGUUAAUAAUGUAGCACUGCUUCUCCUGAAGCAGUGACCACUGUAAUUUUGAGGAUUUUGCAGCUUCAGAUACCCAGCAAUUAAAGAUGGUACUCUGCCAAUAGUGUUAAUACCGACGGGGGAAUUUAUACAUUUUCCAUCACGGAAUACAAACCAUAAGAAUGUCAUCUUUGAAAACAACAUCAUCAACUAACAUCUUGCAUAAUUCUCCCCUGCGGCACGCGCCAGAGAUGCCGAUAACUAACACUGCCUGCAAUAUUAAGAAUACAUUUUCAAUGUGUCAAUAUGAACUAAUAAAAUAAAAAUUACCUUCAUUAGUAAA